GACGAACGCUGGCGGCGUGCCUAAUACAUGCAAGUAGAACGCUGAAGGCGGAGCUUGCUCUUCUGGAUGAGUUGCGAACGGGUGAGUAACGCGUAGGUAACCUGCCUGGUAGCGGGGGAUAACUAUUGGAAACGAUAGCUAAUACCGCAUAACAGUAGAUGUUGCAUGACAUUUGCUUAAAAGGUGCAAUUGCACCACUACCAGAUGGACCUGCGUUGUAUUAGCUAGUUGGUGGGGUAACGGCUCACCAAGGCGACGAUACAUAGCCGACCUGAGAGGGUGAUGGGCCACACUGGGACUGAGACACGGGCCAGACUCUUACGGGAGGCAGCAGGAGGAAAGCUUGGGCACUGGACGGAGGUCUGACCGAGCAACGCCGCGGGAAGAAAGAAGGUUUGCGGAUCGAAAAGCUGUGUUGUAAAAGAAGAACGAGGGUGAGAGGGGAAAGUUCACUCUGUGAGGGUAUCUGACAAGAAAGGGACGGCUAAAUACGGC
rnacentral:rRNA from 1 species